rnacentral:piRNA from 1 species
GAAGCUAUGAUUACUUUGGUGGCCUCUCCUA